CAUCUUCAAAAAAGAUGGUAUUAAAGAAAAAAAUUCUUUAAUUUAACGUAUCUGAACAGGCUAAUUGCGCCAGAGAGUACAAAUUGAGUGCGCAGUUUGGCACCUCGAUGUCGGCUUGGCUCAUCCACAUGAAUGCAAGAGUCAUGAAGGGUUCGACUGUUCGUCGAUUAAAGAGCUACACGAGCUGGGUUAAAUACGUCGUGAGACAGUAUGGUUUCUAUCUUCUAGAGGUAAUUAGAGUAGAAUAAGGAUAGCCCCUUCGUACGAAAGGAGUUGGGUAUGUUAAUCCAUGGUUUACCUGUUGUUUAUGUGCGACCCUUUUUUAAAAAUCAAAAACUAGUCGUGCCUCCCCUUGACCCGCCUAGGGAGCCGAAAGAGGGAAUGUUAGCUCUGCUAACGGGGGAGUCUCAGCACGCUGAGGAGCACGUCUAGGGGCAAAAUUAGUAGCAUAUUGCUAUAAUCUGAAACGUAGGCAGGGCAGGAACGCUAUAUUAAUUAAAGAUAAGCGCUGAAUGCAUAUAGGUGCGAUACUUACCUUAGAAUACUUUUAAAUAUAUGUAAUAUAAUAUUACAAACAUUUUGCAAGAAUUUACUUUUUGCAAAUAAUAGCAUUUAGCUUAAAGAACUUUGAUGUUUUUAGGUAUAAAUUACUAAUUUUAUUA
rnacentral:ncRNA from 1 species